CGGGUGCACUGAUCCAGCCGGGCCUUUCCCUCUGUGGAACCCCAUGGCCUUCACUGGCUGUGGCGGGGAAACAGGACUUUUACUUUGAAAAAAUUAGAGUGCUCCAGGCAGGCCUAUGCUCGAAUACAUUAGCAUGGAAUAAUAGAAUAGGACGUGUGGUUCUAUUUUGUUGGUUUCUAGGACCGCCGUAAUGAUUAAUAGGGACAGUCGGGGGCAUCAGUAUUCAAUUGUCAGAGGUGAAAUUCUUGGAUCUAUUGAAGACUAACUACUGCGAAAGCAUUUGCCAAGGAUGUUUUCAUUGAUAAGGAACGAAAGUUAGGGGAUCGAAGACGAUCAGAUACCGUCGUAGUCUUAACUAUAAACUAUGCCGACUAGGGGAUCGGACGAUGUUAUUCUUUGACGCGUUCGGCACCUUUCGAGAAAUCAAAGUGCUUGGGCUCCAGGGGGAGUAUGGUCGCAAGGCUGAAACUUAAAGAAAUUGACGGAAGGGCACCACCAGGGGUGGAACCUGCGGCUUAAUUUGACUCAACACGGGGAAACUCACCAGGUCCAGACACAGUGAGGAUUGACAGAUUGAGAGCUCUUUCUUGAUUCUGUGGGUGGUGGUGCAUGGCCGUUCUUAGUUGGUGGAGUGAUUUGUCUGCUUAAUUGCGAUAACGAACGAGACCUUAACCUGCUAAAUAGCCCGUACUGCUUUGGCAGUUCGCCGGCUUCUUAGAGGGACUAUCGG
rnacentral:rRNA from 1 species